rnacentral:rRNA from 1 species
AUUGAACGCUGGCGGCAGGCCUAACACAUGCAAGUCGAGCGGAGCGGCGGACGGGGGAGUAAUGCCUAUGAAUCUGACAGGUACUGGGGGAUAACGUCCGGUACCGGGCGCUAAUACCGCAUACUAUCAGAUGAGCCUAGGUCGGAUUAGCUAGUUGGUGGGGUAAAGGCCUACCAAGGCGACGAUCCGUAGCUGGUCUGAGAGGAUGAUCAGUCACACUGGAACUGAGACACGGUCCAGACUCCUACGGGAGGCAGCAAUGGGGAAUAUUGGACAAUGGGCGAAAGCCUGAUCCAGCCAUGCCGCGUGUGUGAAGAAGGUCUUCGGGUUGUAAAGUACUUUCAGCGGGGAGGCGUUACCCGCAGAAGAAGCACCGGCUAACUCCGUGCCAGCAGCCGCGGUAAUAC